rnacentral:pre_miRNA from 1 species
UUUUCAGUUUUUUACCAGGUUAGAUUUGCGAAACGUUCGAAUUUAGGUCGUAUCACAAUUCUAGCCUGGCAAUUUUGCUUGAAA